rnacentral:lncRNA from 1 species
UUUUUAACGGGGAAUCGAUACAUUUGAUUUAUUAUUUCCGACAAUCUCAAGUAUUUUGCGUGCCACAAUCGAUGGCCAUUGUGUCUGUAGGGCUUGCUAAUAGGUUGCUAUAGUUUGAGUGUUACGCUUCUCUAUGGCUUAAGUAUUAUUUGAGGUCUACUUAUGAGACGAAUACAAACAUACGCAUUGGUUUCGUCCGCCAACGCAUUUUAUGUGGGUACCCGUAAUUUGGUUUUACACGGUGGAAAAACACAUAGCUGGCUGCCUGGGAUGCGUGGAUACUAAAAAACAGAGAGACGUGAAAAAUACAACCUUGAAUUACCAAUACAAUAACUACAGCAAGCCAGUUGUGCAUGCCAAAACAGUUACGGAUUAGCCAUCAUUUUGUCGCUGCGCGACAAAGCCUCUCAUGCGUUACCAUUGACGUAGUACACUCCACUUGAAAUUGUAGCGAAUUGGCUCAAUCAAUCUCUAGAAUGAACGAGAAUGCCGGAACACGUAUUGCGAUUGCCAAAAAAUGGACAACUUAAAAUGAUUUAGGGUAAUUAUUUUUUUUCUCACUAGCGCGCUCAAAUGAAAGGCCAUGCGUGUACAAUUUUCAUACCUACAAUCUUUUACCAUUUUAACAUUUGAGGGCGGCCAUUCCUUGCAUUGUUGCAACGUUCAUGUACAUUGACAAACCAAACUCCAUGACCUCCUCAAUUUAAUCGAAAAACACCAAACAAAGUUGGGGGAGUACUAGGGUCUUAAAAAGCGCAACAUUAUUUUACAUAUCAUAAGCCGAAAGGGGUAUAAACUUUAAGAUUCUACUCGCCCAACUUUUAAAGUUGGGCGAGUAGAGUCUUAAGAAGUGCAACAUGAUUUUACAUAUCAUAAGCCGAAAGGGGUAUAAAGUUGGGUGGAGUGGAGUCUUAGAAGCGCAACAUGAUUUUACAUAUCACAAGCCGAAAGGGGUAUAAAGUUGGGUGGAGUGGAGUCUUAAGAAGCGCAACAUGAUUUUACAUAUCAUAAGCCGAAAGGGGUAUAAAGUUGGGUGGAGUGGAGUCUUAAGAAGCGCAACAUGAUUUUACAUAUCAUAAGCCGAAAAGGGUGUGAAGUUUGGGUGGAGUGGAGUCUUAAGAAGCGCAACAUGAUUUUACAUAUCAUAAGCCGAAAGGGGUAUAAAGUUGGGUGGAGUAGAGUCUUAAGAAGCGCAACAUGAUUUUACAUAUCAUAAGCGGAAAGGGGUAUGANNNNNNNNNNNNNNNNNNNNNNNNNNNNNNNNNNNNNNNGGGUGGAGUAGAGUCUUAAGAAGCGCAACAUGAUUUUACAUAUCAUAAGCCGAAAGGGGUAUAAAGUUGGGUGGAGUAGAGUCUUAAGAAGCGCAACAUGAUUUUACAUAUCUUAAGCCGAAAAGGGUGUAAAGUUUGGGGGAGUAGAGUCUUAAGAAGCGCAACAUGAUUUUACAUGGAAUUUAUCAUAAGGGCCAUAUGGCCGUAUGGAGUAGGAGUUCGAUUACCGUGGCAACACAAUAUGUGUAAAAUCUUAUAUUAUUUUUUAAGCUAUCAAUACCUGUAUUAUAGUUAUACAUACUUCACGUCUUCAAGAGGUGCAAUGAGGACCACUUAAAAUUACUUGCGGAUAUUAAAACCUGAUUAAAACUAUAGGGAGUCAAGGAACCUUCGCAUUGAAGAAAGGUUUUUUGUGGGUGAGGUAAUAUAGCCGUUGUUUUCCGCAUUUUUUAGGUUUUUGGUUAAUUUUGUAAGGCUUAUAAUUUGGACCGGCUAUAUACAGCUAAUUCAAAGAAGGUUGUUCUUUGCAAACCUUAAACUGUAAACCUUCAACUCUAAGCGUGCAAAGCAUAAUGGGAGCAUCAUUUAAUCAGUUUAGAAAUCAUAUAUGGGACCCAUUUCUUAGAGACAUGGUAAAUAUCUCCAUACGAGAACAAUUCAUUCACAGAUAGCUGUAAUAUUCAACUACUAAGCUUGAAACUUGUGCCCCCAUUAAGCUUUGCGCGCUUAGAGUUUAAGGUUUAAGGUUUGCAAAGGACAAUCAUUUUCGAAUUGGCUGUGAUACACCGCAACAUUCUAUUUUGUUUGUUCAACUAGGAGUCUAGGUAUAGUCAAGAAUUUUCGAUUUGGUCAGGAGUAUAGUCCAUUUAAUCUGUUAUCACUGGAAAUGUUUUUCAAAAUCCUUGCUAUGGAAAUAGUAUGGAUCUAAUUAGUUGAAAAUAGUAUGAAAAUCCAAUAUGCAAUUCCAGCUUUUAAUUUAUGCGCGCAGGGGAGGAUGGGAAGUAAGGUAUCAUAUUGAUGAUUAUGCUGGAAAAAAUGAAAAUGACGGCUGUGUAAACACGGAGUGAUAGCUUAUACUUGUAAGUAUUGAAAUAUUUCGGUUGUUUCGAACAACAAGGCAGUUUCUAUUGAAAUUUUUCAGCAUAAUCAGCAAUAUGAUACCUUACUUCCCAUCACCCCCUGCGUGCAUAAAUUUAAGGCUGGAAUCGCCUAUUUUCAUACUAAUUGCAAUUUCC